rnacentral:rRNA from 1 species
GAUGAACGCUGGCGGCGUGCCUAAUACAUGCAAGUCGAGCGAACAGACGAGGAGCUUGCUCCUCUGACGUUAGCGGCGGACGGGUGAGUAACACGUGGAUAACCUACCUAUAAGACUGGGAUAACUUCGGGAAACCGGAGCUAAUACCGGAUAAUAUAUUGAACCGCAUGGUCCAAUAGUGAAAGACGGUUUUGCUGUCACUUAUAGAUGGAUCCGCGCCGCAUUAGCUAGUUGGUAAGGUAACGGCUUACCAAGGCAACGAUGCGUAGCCGACCUGAGAGGGUGAUCGGCCACACUGGAACUGAGACACGGUCCAGACUCCUACGGGAGGCAGCAGUAGGGAAUCUUCCGCAAUGGGCGAAAGCCCGACGGAGCAACGCCGCGUGAGUGAUGAAGGUCUACGGAUCGUAAAACUCUGUUAUUAGGGAAGAACAAAUGUGUAAGUAACUAUGCACGUCUUGACGGUACCUAAUCAGAAAGCCACGGCUAACUACGUG